rnacentral:rRNA from 1 species
UACGUAGGAUGCACGCGGUGACCGGAUUUAUUGGUUUUAAAGGGUGCGUAGGCGGCCUAUUAAGUUAGUGGUAAAAACGUUCGUUUUAACCGGAUACCCGCCAUUGAUACUGAUAGACUUGAGUGCGACAGAGGGUGUUGGAAUGUGUGGUGUAGCGGUGAAAUGCUUAGAUAUCACGCAGAACACCAAUUGCGAAGGCAGAUGCCUAUGUCGUAACUGACGCUGAGGCACGAAAGCGUGGGGAGCAAACAGG